rnacentral:rRNA from 1 species
CAAUAGCGUAUAUUAAGGUUGUUGCAGUUAAAAAGCUCGUAGUUGGAUUUCUGGUUGAAGCGACCGGUCGGGCGUUGAUUCGUCUGCACUGGAGUCGGUUUUGGCCAUCCUCUAGGAAAGUGCGUCUGGUAUUAAGUUAUCGGGCGUAUGAUCCUGGUCUUUUACUGUGAAAAAAUUAGAGUGUUUAAAGCAGGCCUUCGCCUUGAAUACAUUAGCAUGGAAUAAUAAGAUAGGACUUUGGUCUAUUUUGUUGGUUUGCAGACCGAAGUAAUGAUUAAUAGGGAUAGUUGGGGGUAUUUAUAUUCCGAUGUCAGAGGUGAAAUUCUUAGAUUUUCGGAAGAUAAACUUAUGCGAAAGCAUUUACCAAGGAUGUUUNCAUUAA